CGAUACGGCAGUAUGGGAGGAAUUGAAUGAAGCUGAAAAUGGUACAGAAAAGAUCCACAAACACGCAACUGGAUGGAGAUCUUUCAGAAUUGGGAGGCUGGCUAGUCUGAGACCAUAUUCUCGGAGCGUGGGAGGCCGUGGAAACAGCCUGUGAACAUGAAUUGAAACAAGACCUCUCACCAUUCGAUAGUUGUCUAUGAGGCCAACCUCCAUUCUUCUGAAUUCCAGUGAAUACAGCCACAAAGACAUCAAAUGCUCUUGAUAUGACAACCAUUCAAAAACUGACACAUAGUAGUGAAAUUCCUUUGAAGCCCCUUCAGUUUGAACACAUCCUUUCAAAUAUAAGUGUCCCAGAUCUGCUCACAGUUCUCCAGCAAAAACAAAUGGCAAUUGUACCCUCGGCUCUGACGCAAUCGUCGGCAUUGUGCUUGGUUUACUUGGCAUGGGAUUGAUCGGCGGAGUCAGUGGAUGGUUGAUCGCGAGGAAAACUAGCGGGAUCAAAGAUCUGCCACAAUCCCAAUACGGAACGAUCAUCAAUUCCGGAGGAAAUGCACCUCUGAUAUAACCUCUCUGAUCGCAUCGGGAUCCUACGAAAAUUUCCCAAGGAAUGAACAGGGCGCAAGUAACAACGCACAAGAUGGAAACUCCACUUACACGGGACUGAUUCUGGGCGACCGAUCUGUUUACAGUGAUAUGAAGAGAUGAUGUCGCUGGUGAACAGAAGAGGACGGUUGCCCGGGACUUCACACAUCAGAAGGACAACCAUCGUGGAAGAUGCACCUUUCAAAACGUCUCUUACUUUUUAUAUAUAACUGUUAUCUAUGUUUCUGUCAUAUGUCUCUCGAGUGUGACAUCUUCACUUCGAGACAUCACUGACCGUUGUGACUUUUUUUUAUCGUAGCGGCUUCGUUGUCUCGCCUCAGCACAGACUCCUGCAUCCCAUAAUAGGCACCCUCGUGCUUCCACCAACAUUUCACCUCUCAGCUUUGCUCUGCGAUAUGAUCUCUAUAAUCUCAUUACCCACAUGAUAGGCGGUUCCGUUUCUAAAGACGUGUUUCGCUCAGAUCGGGAACAUAGCGGUGUGAGACUCUCAGCCUUCAGACGAGCCUCAAUUUUCUCUCGUCCGGGAGCCUGGUGCAGCGGCGGAAAGGGUCACGUGACAAUAAUUCCAAUGGUUUCAUCCUUCCCCUCCCGGGCCAUCAUAUUAGCAAUGUAUCAGUAUUCGCUCACUAAAUACUGUCCGAUAUGAUGUGAGUUUCGUCUUGUCGAACGACCAGAUUUUUACCUGACACCCAUCCCUAUUUCCCUCUGACACUUGUUUUGGGAUCAUUCCCGACCGCAAUAGACACCUUGAUACCUGUUUAUACAUCCAGCAGUUGCCAGAAACCACACCUCCGCCUUCCGCCGCACACCGCGGUCACAGAGGCACAAGUACAUUUGGACAGCGUGGGUGGUGGGGGCCGGGAGGGUGUGUCGUUUGUGCACGAACAUGGACAGCAAAAGGGAUUUUCAAGGCACUGGGAAAUACCGAGUUCGCGGUCGGCUUUGGGAAAUAAACAACAACUUAAACGUAAACAAGGAAUCUUGGAAUGAAAAAUAACACAUUGUAGUGACAAAUUCACAAAGGAUUAUCAAAGUCUGACCCAGACCAUGACCACGAAUAGAACAUUAAUACCCGGAUAACGGUUCUCAGGUGUCUGAAAUAUUUACACUCGAUCGGUGAUUGAAUAAACACGCGGA